rnacentral:rRNA from 1 species
AGAGUUUGAUCCUGGCUCAGAUUGAACGCUGGCGGCAUGCUUUACACAUGCAAGUCGAACGGCAGCGCGGGCUUCGGCCUGGCGGCGAGUGGCGAACGGGUGAGUAAUACAUCGGAACGUGCCCAGUAGUGGGGGAUAGCUCGGCGAAAGCCGGAUUAAUACCGCAUACGACCUGAGGGUGAAAGCGGGGGAUCUUCGGGCCUCGCGCUAUUGGAGCGGCCGAUGGCAGAUUAGCUAGUUGGUGGGGUAAAGGCCUACCAAGGCGACGAUCUGUAGCUGGUCUGAGAGGACGACCAGCCACACUGGGACUGAGACACGGCCCAGACUCCUACG